GACGAACGCUGGCGGCGUGCCUAAUACAUGCAAGAAGAACGCUGAAGAGAGGAGCUUACUCUUCUUGGAUGAGUUGCGAACGGGUGAGUAACGCGUAGGUAACCUGCCUUGUAGCGGGGGAUAACUAUUGGAAACGAUAGCUACUACCGCAUAACAAUGGAUGACACAUGUCAUUUAUUUGAAAGGGGCAAUUGCUCCACUACAAGAUGGACCUGCGUUGUAUUAGCUAGUAGGUGAGGUAAUGGCUCACCUAGGCGACGAUACAUAGCCGACCUGAGAGGGUGAUCGGCCACACUGGGACUGAGACACGGCCCAGACUCCUACGGGAGGCAGCAGUAGGGAAUCUUCGGCAAUGGGGGCAAACCUGACCGAGCAACGCCGCGUGAGUGAAGAAGGUUUUCGGAUCGUAAAGCUCUGUUGUAAGUCAAGAACGGGUGUGAGAGUGGAAAGUUCACACUGUGACGGUAGCUUACCAGAAAGGGACGGCUAACUACGUG
rnacentral:rRNA from 1 species